AACGAACGCUGGCGGCAUGCCUAACACAUGCAAGUCGAACGAGACCUUCGGGUCUAGUGGCGCACGGGUGCGUAACGCGUUGGAACCUGCCUUUAGGUUCGGCAUAACUCAGAGAAAUUUGAGCUAAUACCGGAUGAUGUCUUCGGACCAAAGAUUUAUCGCCUUUAGAUGGGCCGGCGUUGGAUUGCCUAGUUGGUGGGGUAAAGGCGUACCAAGGCGUCGAUCGAUAGCUGGUCGGAGAGGAUGAGCAGCCACACUGGAGGGGGGACACGGCCCAGAAUCCUGCGGGAGGCGGGAGAGGGGAAUAUAGGACUGUGGGCGGAAGCAUGAUCCAGCUAUGCCGCGUGAGUGAUGAAGGCCUUAGGGUAGUAAAGCACUUUUAUCCGAGAUGAUAAUGACAGUAUCGGGAGAAUAAGCUCCGGCUAACUCCGUG
rnacentral:rRNA from 1 species